CUCCUUGAUGAUGAAGAGAUCGCUUUGUACAUCCUCGCUGGACUCGACGUCGAGUACAACCCCGUGGUGUCGGCGGUUGAGGCGUGGACGGAGCCAAUAACUCUUGGUGAGUUGUUCACACAACUUUCAUCCUUUGAAC